AUCUCGUAAACGUCCGAAAAAUAUAAAAAUCAAGAAAAAGACACAAAAACACUUCAAAUAAAAUACCGAAUCGCACUAGUCACCUUAGAAUAUCGAUACGAAUAAAAUAUAAAUAUUUCACAUUUUUUCGUGACUUUCCAAAAAAUAUCAAAAAAAUUAAUUCGUAAACGUUCAAAAAAUAAAAAAUCAAGAAAAUGACAUAAAAACACCUCAAAAAAUUCCCGAAUCGCACUAGUUAUCUUAGUAUAUCGAUACGAAUUAAAUAUAAAAAUUUCGCAUUUUUUUCGUGAUUGCCAGAAAAAUAUUAAAGACAAGAAAAAAACAUAAAAACACCUCAAAAAAUUCACGAUUUGCACUAGUCAUGUUAGUAUAUUGAUAUGAAUUAAAUAUAUAAAUUUUGCAUUUUUUUCAUGACUGCCCGAAAAAUAUCAAAAAUUCUAAUUCCUAAAAUUUGAAAAUAUAAAAAUCAAGAAAAAGAAAUAAAAACACCAAAAAAAAUUCUCGAAUCUCACUUAUUACCUUAGAAUAUCGAUAUGAAUAAAAAACCAAAAUUUCAUAUUAUUUCGUAAUUGCCCGAAAAAUAUCAAAAUAUUUAACUCGUAAACGUCUCAAAAAUAUAAAAAGAUAAAAUGGUCAAAAACCCC
rnacentral:lncRNA from 1 species